AUCUGGCUGCUGUGUGGAGAAAGAGUGAAGAUACGGAAGUUGGAGGUUCUCGUAGCAAUGCAGAUCCCCUUUUAUUUUUCAGAAUUGUGGCUUGCAUUGUAAGAGGAGCCUGUGAAUUCAGAGGCAAGUCUGCUGAGGACCGAAUGUUCCUGUCCAUAAAAACAGAAGUCUGGCCUGGGCUCCUCUCUUGGGUGAAUUUGCAAUGCCAGAUCCUCUCUAUCAGUUUGGUUUUGUUUCUUGUAUCUCUGGGAAGGCAGGCAGACAGCACGGUCACCUGUGAAUGCAGCUACAAUUGGCUUAGCUGCCUCACUGAUAAAUGUGCCCCCAGUAAGCUACAAAGGGAUUACCAGCGUUCUCAGCAGCUAAAGGAACUGGUGAAGAUUUCCCCAGCAAAAAGUAGAAGCUCAGUGUUUCAUAGAUGAAGACUGGGGAGAUUGCAAAAGACCCAUCCAGAGUCUCACUUUGUCGCCCAGGCUGGAGUACAGUGGUGCGAUCUUGGCUCUCUGCAACCUCUGCCUCCCAGGUUCAAGUAAUUCUCCUGCCUCAGCCUCCCGAGUAGCUGGUACUACAGGCACACAUUUGUAGAGAUGGUGUUUCCCCAUGUCAUCCAGGCUGGUCUGGAACUCCUGGGAUCAAGUAAUCCACCCGCCUCGGCCUCCCAAAGUGCUGGGAUUACAGACGUGAGCCACCACGCCCUGCCAAUAAAAAGAUUAUCUCCAGAUGCUGACUAAGGUACAGAGAGGUCAAGUAACUUGCCCAAAGUCACACAACUAUCAAGGAGCAGAGCUGAGGUUUGAUGUCACAGAGGGGUCAAGAUACAGUCAUAUUUAUUAAACAGCCUACUUCAUGCUUUGAACAGAAGAGUUUUAUCAGUUUUAAAUGUUUCUUCAUUUCUAUACCUUCUUUUAUCUGAGGAGCUUAAGCCAUUUUGUAGAGGCAUUAAGUAUUGCCUCAGUCUUAAUAUGUGAGACAAGGUGUGAGGAAUAUAGAGAUUCAUAAAAUAAUCCCCAUCUUCAAGGAACUCACAGUCAGGAAGAACAGAGCCUGCAACACAAAUAAUUGCAAUAUAGUAGAAGUGCCAAUAGGAGCUCUAUGAAGGGCGUGAAACAGGAAAGGCUACAUAGAGGAGAUGGCAGACACUCUGUGGAUUGUGACCUGUUGGUGGGCCAUGAAAUCAAUUUGGGGGUUUGAGAGCAUCAUUCUUUUAAUAAAACAGAAGAGAAUCAUCUGCAAUAAGGAACCCAUGGAUGAAUACCAUCUGGUCCUGGUGAUUUACUGCACAGAGUCCCUCAAGUUGCUCCAUACCUUUCUCCUGAGAGACUGAAGAAUCUCUGUCAAGGCCGUUCUCUGCUUUGCCAUAAAAUGUGUCCUUGGAACAAGAAUUUCCCCAUUGUCUUCUUCAAUAAAUACUGAUUCAAAGUAUUCAUUUAGCUGUUCC
rnacentral:lncRNA from 10 species